rnacentral:rRNA from 1 species
AGAGUUUGAUCCUGGCUCAGGAUAAACGCUGGCGGCGUGCCUUAUACAUGCAAGUCGAGCGGUAAGGCCCCUUCGGGGGUACACGAGCGGCGGACGGCUGAGUAACACGUAGGAACGUACCCUAAAGUGAGGGAUAAGCAUUAGAAAUGGUGUCUAAUACCGCAUGUGACCCUUUAAAGGUUAAAGCUUUAUGCGCUUUGGGAGCGGCCUGCGUAUGAUUAGUUUGUUGGUGAGGUAAUAGCUCACCAAGACUACGAUCAUUAGCUGGUCUGAGAGGAUGAUCAGCCAGACUGGGACUGAGAACGGCCCAGACUCCUACGGGAGGCAGCAGUAGGGAAUUUUCCACAAUGGGCGAAAGCCUGAUGGAGCAACGCCGCGUGCAGGAUGAAUGCCUUCGGGUUGUAAACUGCUUUUAUAUGUGACGAUUUUGACGGUAGCAUAUGAAUAAGGAUCGGCUAACUCCGUGCCAGCAGCCGCGGUCAUACGGAGGAUCCAAGCGUUAUCCGGAAUUACUGGGCGUAAAGAGUUGCGUAGGUGGCAUAGUAAGCAAGUAGUGAAAUGGAGUGGCUCAACCACUUCUCCAUUAUUUGAACUGCUAAGCUUGAGAUCAAGAGAGGUACC